rnacentral:lncRNA from 1 species
GGGUUGUCACACUACUCUUCCUAACUGCAAGUGGACUUUACUGUUCCCAUGUGUCCAGACAGGAGAGGAAGACAAGAUGUGGGGCCUCCUGGGGAUCCUCUGGAGCUUCCUGGUGAUCCUGGUCAGCCUGUCCCCUGAGAACCUGAAGGAAAAAGUGAGAGGGCACCUCAGGGUACACAAGCAAGCAGAGGCUGAUUCUGCAGGACUGACAGUAGAGAGGGGCCUAAGACGCUCCCUCUACUGACCUGAGUGCAGACCCCUCGACAAAGACCUCCCCAUCCCUGACACCAAUGAUCCCAGGAUGGGGGCCCCUGUGUUGACCUGAGUCAUCCUCGGAGAACAAGUUCCUCACCUCCCCGAGAUCUGAAAACAGGAAUGAGAUGGAGCUACAUCCUGUCACCCCCACAUGGGGUGUCCAGAGCCUGGACCCACUUCCCUCCACCAAUCUCAAGCCGCCACUCAGAGCGAGAACUUCGCUUCUCUUUGACCCCCAACGCCAAGUCAGUGGUGUCACAUCCGGGCACCCGGGGAUUCCCUCGGUUGAAAGCAGGGGCGAAACCGGAUUCUACCAGAAUAGCCUGGGCCCACUUCCCUCCUCCAAUCCCAAGCCGCCUGUCAGACCAAGAAGCUCGCUUCUCUCUGACCCCCAAUGCGCAAAUCAGUGGCGUCACAUCCAGGCCAGGGGCUUCCCGGGGUUGACAGCAGGGGAAGACCCAGAUUCUGCCAGGAUGGAGCUAUAGAGGGAACCUGGGCCUGCUUCCUUCCACCGAUCUCAAGCUGCUCCUAAGACCAAGAACCUGGCUUCUCUCUGAUACCCAAUGCGCAAGUCAGUGGCAUCACAUCCGGGCCACCUGGCGCUUCUGGUUGAUUUGGGAAGCAGAGAAUAGCCGCCCAAAUUUGAUUGUAAUUUUGGCGGCUACAGGUAAGGCACUAAAUUGUAAAUAAUUUAAGUAUAAUUGACAUUUUUACAAUGUUCUGUUCCCCAUCAAUGAACAGGUUAUGCUCCUCUUUAUUUCAGACCCUCUUAACCUGAAUCUAUCAGUAUACUUUGAUAGUUGCCUCUAGAAAGACCUUAUACAUUUUUGUUAGGGUUCUUUUCAGGUUAAUUCUUGGAUUUUGUUACUACUGCAAAUGGCAUAUUUUCUAUUGUUUGUUCUAAUUAGGUAUUGCUUUCGCAUGUCAAAGAUUUUGACUUUGCUAUAGUAAUGUUACACACCUCUUUCUGAAAGCCCAUUCACCUGAAUAUUCCAUUUGCCUAUUCCUUUGAAUUUUCAAGACCGAUAAUGACAUUAUCACUAAACAUUAUGUAUUUUUCCAAUAUUCACAACCCUUAUUUAUUUUGAUACUUAUAGCUCUGACUUUGUGUCUCAAUGAUGAUUUAAAACAUAGAGAUAAUAGCCUACAUCUACUUCUUGCUCCUGACAUUAAUGAUAAUUCUUUGAACGUUUCACAUUUAAGUAUGUUUGCUGUUGAUUUUAGGAAAUAGAAGUUAUCUUUCAAUAUAGGUUAACUAAAUAUUUUUACCAUGAACUCAUCGAAUUUCUUUCAAAAGCUUUUUCUGUACCCAUUAACACAAUCAAAUUUUUUUCUACUCUAUUUUGUAUGUAAAGAAUUACAAUGAAACUUUUUUUCCUAAUGUGGAAUCAUAUUGUCUUUCCUUGGGCAGAGCCUGUUUGUUCAUUUAAUAUUCUACUAAUUUACAUAGAAUAAUUGCUGCUAUGUAACAGAGCUUGCUUGAUGUGUUUUUUAUAUCGGGGUGGGAGGUGGUCCUCAUCUGUUUUUUGAAUCCAAGAGGGCUCAUCUGGGAGAACAAAGUGAACAAUUGCCUAUAUUUUGUGUGCAUUGGAAGAGCUGAGAUAAGAUGGUGGUUAGUUUCCCCUGAUUAUUUAGUAGAAUCGGCCUCCAAAACUGACUAACAUGGAACGUUUGAGGGUGGCUUGAGCUUUGAAUAGUUUGAGCUUGUAUAGUUUCAGUUUGUAAAGUUUAAUUAAGGUUUUCUUUUUGGAUCAAUUUGGUCACUUGGUCACUUAUUUAUUUAUUUCUACAAAGUGAUCAGUUUCACUUAUGAUUUAACUUUUAGUGGAAUGAUAUUUAUGAUAAAAAAUGUUUUAUUAGGGAAAGCCUCAAACAUACAGAUUAAUAGAGAGACUAAUAUAGUGAACCCAGUGUAGAUGACUCUCAGCAUCAAUAACCUUAACUACACGGCAAACCUGUUUCCAGUUAGACACUCACCUACCAGCACCUAAGCUGCUGGAGUAACGUGGAGCAAGUCUAAGACAUCAUACGAUUUCAUCUCUAAAUAAUUCAAUAUGAUAUUUUUAAAAGAUAGGGACUUUGUAUUAAACAAAAACCCAAUAUUAUUUUCAUUUCUAAAAAGUAAAUAAAUGAUUAUCAAAUGUUCAACUGUUUUACACACUUACCUGGUAGACUUAUACUUUAUAAAAAUUGUGUUUCUUUGUAUGAGUACCCAAGUAUAAUAUUAUAUAGUGAUUUUUUGGUCAUACUCCUUAAGUCUUCUAUCAUUUGUAGGUCCCCUCCACAUGACCUGUUUUCUUGCCACUGUUUUGUUGUUGUUGGAAAGAAACAGAUCUUGUGUUCUUUCCAGUUUUCCAUAGUCUGGAUUUGGCUGAAUACAACACUGUGAUGUCCUUUAUCAUAUUCUUUAGCCCUCCAUUUCUAGGACUACAAGAUGCUCUAGGCUCAUUGGGUUUAUGCCCUGCCCCAGUCCUAAAAUCAGCCAUUUCUCCAGAGAUCUGGUUCCUUUUAAUAGGAAAUGGUUCUAGAAAUUUACAUCUGGGUGCUAGGUGUGCUCAUUGCUACUUUUGCUUUUGGUGUUGAAUUUACAAACUUUUUACCAAACUUAAAGUAAUGUAAAUUUUCUCUUAUUUUCUUAUAGAAGUUGUAUAAUUUUUGCAUUUUGCAUUAGGUCUAUGAUGUAGCUUGAGUUAAUCUUUGUGAAAUACCUAAGGAUUUGUCUAGGUUAUUAUUAUUAUUGUUGGUGUAUAGAUGUCCAAUUUUUCAUGCACCAUUUGUUGGAACAACUAUACUUUCAGCAUUAUUGCUUUGUUAUAAAUCACCUGAAUAUAUGUGUGCAGGUCUAUUUCUGGGCUGUAUUCUGUUUUUUUAAUAUAUGUUCUUUAUCCAUUCACCAAAAGAAAUACAUCUUGGAUGCUUCUAUUUUUGGUGAUUAUGAAAUAAGCUAUUGUACACAUUCACAUACAAAUUUUUAUGUAGGCGUAAGUUUUCAAAUCAGUUGGGUAAAUACCUAGGCGUAGGACUGCUGAAUCUUAUCGUAAGACUAUGUUCAGUUUUUUUAAGAAAAUGCCAAACUGUCUACUUCCAAAGUGGCUGCAUCAUUUUGCAUUUCCACCAUCAAUGAAUGAGAGUUUCUGUUGCUCCACAUCUUCACUAGCAAUUGGUCUUUUUUUUAUCUUAGACAUUCUAAUAGGUGUAUAGUGGUUUCUCAUUUUAGUACACAAUUCUCUAAUGACAAAAGACGUCCAGGACUUUUACUAUGCUUAUUUGCCAUCUGUAUAUCUUCUUUGGUGUACUGUCUGUUCAGAUCUUCAACUAUUUUCGUUUAUUUUCUAUUGUUGAGUUUUAAGAAGUUGUGUAUAUUGUAGAGACAAGUUCUUUAUCACAUAUGUGUGCUACAGAUGUUUUCUGCUAGUCUGUAGCUUCUGUUUUUAUUCUGUUAACUCUGUUUUUUGAAGAGCAUAAGAUUUUUAUUUUAAUAAAAUCCAACUUGGCUAAUUUUUCCUUCAUUGAUGAUACUUUUGGUGCUGAAUUUUAAAACUCAUCAUCAAACUCAAAUUUGUGUAGAUUUUCUCUUACGCUUUCUUCUAGAAGUUGUAUGGUUUUUGCAUUUUGCAUUAGAUCUAUGACGUAUUUUGAGUUGAUCUUGUGAAAUUUUUAAGGAUAUGUCUAGGUUAUUAUUAUUAUUAUUAUUAUUAUUUGUGUCUAGAUGUCCAAUUGUUCAGGCACCACUUGUUGGAAAAAACUAUACUUUUACCAUUAUUGCCUUUGUUGCAAUUCACCUGACUAUAUGUGUGCCAGUCUGUUUCUGAGCUCUAUUCUGUUUUAUUAAUCUAUGUGUUUAUUCUUUGCUAAUGGUUAUGUCCUCUACCGCAUUCAUAUUUUGAAUCCCUCAGCUCCAGGGUGUCUGUAUUUGGAGAUGGGGCCUCUAAGGAAGUAAUUAAUAUUGAAAGAGGUCAUAAGGGUGGGGCCUUGAUCCCAUAAGAUUAGUGUGGUUAUAAGGGAAGCAAGAAAGCACUCUUGUGCUUGCAUGAGUUCUCUC